GCCCUUUAUUUUGCCAUGGCCAGCGCCUAUAUAGGCCCUGCUCGUCCCCGCAAGGGGGCAGACUAUGGUGAUAAACGGCUCGCGCAAUAAGCCAUUCGGACCCGGGAGCAGUACCCGGCGCCUCCACCAAAGCCAUUUGCGAAGCAAAUGGCGUCAAGGCCGCAGCAGAUUGCGUUGGCAAUCUGCGAGAGGCCGUGGCGGCCACAGUUUCAAAGUGGCUCUGAUGGGGGCGAAACAGGAUCGACGAGGGUGUAAAGGUGGGUUUUUUGCCCGUGAUGAUACCGACGUUAUCGGGUCAUUUUAUAGUUGCCAAUGACAACUAUGCUCCGGUUGCUCUCGCUGCUUAAUGCGGCGCGAAAUACCGAAAUCAAGUCCUUGGGCUUAGCCGCUUAAGGCGGGGCUCGCCGGUGCCUGGCAACAGAAACCGGCACU
rnacentral:tmRNA from 1 species